UUCACAAGGAUGUAAGAGAGGAGUUAUGAUCAGUUAAAACAACGUUGCCUCGCAAAUAUCUGUACUAGAUGUGGGGAGACUACUCUUGGUGGCCGAACAUGCUGCGCUCUAGUUUUAUUGCUCAAGGUGUAAAUUGACAUGUAUCUUUUCCUGCCUGACCUGAAGAAAAUUUAUUCUACACUAAUGGCACUUAUGGCUACCGGAGAGAUAUUACUUCGCCCUGCAUGUGUUGCUAAUCUGGAAAAAUUGGGUUAUGUUUUCAGCAUUCACUGUACCUUUUUAAGUCUGAAAUUCGUAGCAUUAUGAUAUAAAGGAAAAGUUUGAGUUUUGUUUUGCAAAGUAGCAUCGGUAGGAGAAACUAUAGAUG
rnacentral:lncRNA from 1 species